UACGAAGGGGGCUAGCGUUGUUCGGAAUUACUGGGCGUAAAGCGCGCGUAGGCGGCUUCUUAAGUCGGAUGUGAAAGCCCUUGGCUCAACUGAGGAAGUGCACCCGAAACUGAGUGGCUAGAGUACGAAAGAGGGUCGCGGAAUUCCCGGUGUAGAGGUGAAAUUCGUAGAUAUCGGGAGGAACACCGGUGGCGAAGGCGGCGACCUGGGUCGAUACUGACGCUGAUGCGCGAAAGCGCGGGGAGCAAACAGG
rnacentral:rRNA from 1 species